CGUGCCAGCUGCUUCCCCAUCUGGCACAGAUCUGGCCAAGUCAAUUGCUCCCUAGACAUUAAGAGAUAAUUUCCUUAGAGUAAUGUCUUCCCUCAGGGACACAUAGUAGUCAUAUUUCCAAACUGUUACUAAACCCAACUGCAAUGGGGUAGUUUUGACCAGGCAUGCAAUGAUUUUGCUCCUUGUCUCAGACACAUUGUCCUUGACCAAAUUGCUCAACAACUCUAUCUGGAAAGAUAGGACUUACUUGGCCCCAGGAGGUGCAUCUCAUUAAGUGUUGCACUAAAUGAGGCCUCUGAAUCUGUCCAUUAAGUAACCACGGACUUGAACGUCUGUCCUGGGGUACCAGAUCUGCAAGGGGGUUCCCGUUGUGCCUUUAGACCUGAAGUCCCCUUUCCAGGAUUUACACAGCAUGCCGGCUCCAAGGAAGAUAUUACUCUUCUCCCAGCACUCCCUGUAUGCUCUGUUUUCAGGUAGGACACCCUCACACAGUCUGGGCAGGACAGUGGGGAGUCUUCUCCCCUGCCCCCAGACUCAGAAUUGACUCCUUCACUGACCUGGCUUCAUUAUGGUGAAACAAAAUGGGAAGCAUGUGCUGUGGCCCAGGCCAGCUUUCCCCAACUGCAGAUGGUUUUGGAGAGGCUCUGCCAUUGGCAGCAUCCAGGAGGGCACAGCAGGCAGGAUACAGACCCUGCAUGGAGCCACCAAGCAAACAGUGUUUGCCAAAGAGCUACUUUUUUUCCAGCCAACGGGAAGUCGGUGACAUGGAAGCUUGCUGCUGACAACGAUGUCUGGGUCUGGGUGAUGGGCGAGCAUCCUUCAGAUAAAUCAUAUGAGGCCAUCUGUGAAGAGAUCCAGGCACAAAAGGCAAAGCAGUUGGUGAGAGAGUAAAGCAAGGAGGGUAGGUAUGCACCCUUCAGCCAGAGGACUCGAUGGGCAGACAUGGAGGAGAAGGUAUUUCUAAGGACCCAGAAGCUGGAGUCUUCUCUGUAGGGGCUGUGGUUACUACUGUCGCACUCAACUUGCAGGCAAAAGGCAGAGACAAAGUCUGGCUGCGUGUACACACAGUGCUGGCAGAGACCAGCUCCAGCCUGAGGCUCGACCUGGCUCAUUGAGCUUCCUGUGAUAUGGCUCCUGCAUGGUACCCUCUGCAGACCACAGGAAAUGCUAACUCUAUUAUUGCAGCACAUGAUGAGUUUGGAAUGCCACUGAUUAACCAGCAGGUGCCCAUGUACAGCAGGACAACAGUUACUCACCACAAGCCAUUAAUUUCAUUAUUCCACCUGCCUGAUUUGGAGAUAUGAUAGCUGCCUGCACGCAUGUUGCUUCGUUGCAGCACCGCUUUCCCCAUGUGCAGCUUCCUCACAAGAUGCCCAGAAAGCAAAAAGUGACUCCCUCAGGUUCUUAAGUCCUCUCUCGCUCUUGCAUUUCAGAGAGACUGAUUCUUCUGUGACACAGUCUUUACAUCUACAACCAGGAGACCCGGGUGAGACAGGUCUUCAUGGGAAUACGAAAAGCACUGUGGAUGAAAAAAAGGAAUGUGGGAGAAAAAUUACUGCUGAUUCAACAGGGAAAAGCCAGGAGCUCACAAAGUUUAAAAAUAGCUUAUUACAUUGACAGCACACGACAACUCCAAAUGCAGUAACUACAGUGUCUGCUUUGCUGUGGUGCUUCACUACAGAAGUAGUUUUCUUCAGCAAUAAAUGUACCUCUACUUUUUAACUGGCUACAAAAAGCCCUUUCCGGAGAACUGAGAAAGAGGUGAGUUGAAUUGACUACCCCUGCAAGCAAAGUUGAACAGAAGGAAUAGAACGCCCUGUCAGUACAAGGGGAGAAGCCCAGUAUUAUGCAGCAGAGUUUUCAUUCAGCCUUUUGCUGCUAACUUGUAUGAGUGUAUAUUCUUUUAUUAUACAGCCACUCCGUAUUCCAGUAUGAAAAGCACGAUAACUGAAGGUUAGGUUUUGGCAAAGCGCCUCUCCCGCUGCUCCGAAAAUACUGAAGUGUAUUUGGAAUGGCUGUCUCCUUUAUCAAAAGCCUCUGACUCACAUGGGGGUUUUCUUAGCACUGUUUGCUGAAGUUGAGCAACUAUGUGGGAGAUUUUUUUUCCUUUCAAAGGAAGCUCUUAGUCACAGCUAACAAAGAAAAAGCAAAACCAAAACCCAAACAAAAAAAUCACACCAUCACCCCCAAAAAUCUAAACACCUUUCAGAGUCUUGCACAUGGAAAUAGAGGCGGGUUAUACAUUUUACUUUUGGUUUCUGACAUGAAAUUAUUAAUAAUUUUUCCCAGGUUUCUGGGACAUCAUUGCUAUUAGAAGGAGGGCUCCAGACCAAAGACCCCUGUUGCAUUUUCUAAGCCUGGAGAGGGGCUUUUUCUUACCUCUCUAAUUAAAGUGCUUUCUCUGAGAUCUAGUUCCUAUUUAACCUGAGGGAUGUGGGCAUUGUACUUUUUCUGCUGCAAGGGAUGGGGGACUGAUGUAAGAAAACAUGCUGCUUCACACACAUUUGAAGUUCUUGUGGUAAGUGAAGUUGAUCCAAAGCCUGAAUUUAGGAAAAGGACUUCUGAAAUCAAAGGUAAUUGCUUUCUGUUUCCACAGUGAAGUAGUCAACAGCUCCUGCAGCUAAUCAGAGUUAUAAAGGCCAUACACAUUCAACUUAAUGAAAUGAUCCUCAAGCCAUUGAGAGGCUGUCCUUGGCUGUAAACAUACCUGUCUCCCAGGAGUACGUUAGUCCUGCAAGAUCCAGACUCUCCCCAUGUCUUCGUUACAGUGAUUACUGCAUCGCUUGCUAUUUCUCUUAACUAGGAAUUAUUUCAACCUAAAUGUCAAUGGUAAAACUGAAAAAGAGAAGUAAAACUUGUUGUGAAAGUUGUUCAAUUUCUCCACCUAGUUUGUACUUCUCAAGACUUCUUCUUGUGGUUUAAGCCCAGCCAGUAACUCAGAACCACGCAGCCGAUCGCUCACUCCUUUCCCCUCCCCUCCUCUGGGCGGGAUGGGGAGGAGAAACAGAAGAAUGUAAACCCCACGGGUUGAGAUAAGCCCAGUCCAGUAACUAUAAUACAAAACUACUGCUACUACCACUAAUAAUGAUAAGGGAAGUAACGAGGGGAGAGAAUAUAAAACUAAAAAGGGAAGGGGGGAAAAACCUGACAAUAAGCGCAAGUGAUGCACAAUACAAUAGCUCACCACCCGCCGACCGAUACCCAGCCCGACCUGAGCAGCAAUUUGGGCCUUCCGGGUGUCUCCCUCCCUGAGUUUAUACACUGGGCAUGAUGUGCUGUGGUAUGGAAUACUCCUUUGGCUAGUUUGGGUCAGGUGUCCUGUCUCUGCUUCCUCCUGGCUUCUUGUGCCCCUCCUCACUGGCAGAGCAUGAGACUGACAAGUCCUUGAUUGGGGUAAAGGAAAAUAUUCCUUAGCAACAACUAAAACAUCGGUGUGUUGUCAGUGUUGUUCUCAGACUAAAGCCAAAACACAGCACUGCACCAGCUGCUAGGAAGGAGAAAAAUGACUGUUACAGCUGAACCCAGGACGCUUGUGUGAGUAGCACUGCCUUAGUGGAAUUCAUACCCUUUCUUCAGUGUCUUCUCAGAUAACAAAGCCAGAUUGUAGCAUUUGCGUUAAAGACCUCCAACUCCA